GCGCUUGGUGAUGAGAUGACGAUGAUUUCGUACAUCCUGAUGGGACUCGACAUGAUUAUAAUUCAAUCUUGUCCGUCAUGGUAACACGAGUGGAACUAAUGUCGGUCAGUGAAUUAUAUGCUCAGUUGUUAAGGUUUGAAA